rnacentral:ncRNA from 1 species
UCUGGUUUCUUGUUUCCUAAAAACAAGUGGUGCGGAUGGAGGAAACUCCCGCCCUGUUUCUUGCUUCAGGUUAAAGAGCAAGUGGCGUGCAUGAAA